rnacentral:rRNA from 1 species
ACACAUGCAAGUCGAACGGUAACAGGAAGAAGCUUGCUUCUUUGCUGACGAGUGGCGGACGGGUGAGUAAUGUCUGGGAAACUGCCUGAUGGAGGGGGAUAACUACUGGAAACGGUAGCUAAUACCGCAUAACGUCGCAAGACCAAAGAGGGGGACCUUCGGGCCUCUUGCCAUCGGAUGUGCCCAGAUGGGAUUAGCUAGUAGGUGGGGUAACGGCUCACCUAGGCGACGAUCCCUAGCUGGUCUGAGAGGAUGACCAGCCACACUGGAACUGAGACACGGUCCAGACUCCUACGGGAGGCAGCAGUGGGGAAUAUUGCACAAUGGGCGCAAGCCUGAUGCAGCCAUGCCGCGUGUAUGAAGAAGGCCUUCGGGUUGUAAAGUACUUUCAGCGGGGAGGAAGGGAGUAAAGUUAAUACCUUUGCUCAUUGACGUUACCCGCAGAAGAAGCACCGGCUAACUCCGUGCCAGCAGCCGCGGUAAUACGGAGGGUGCAAGCGUUAAUCGGAAUUACUGGGCGUAAAGCGCACGCAGGCGGUUUGUUAAGUCAGAUGUGAAAUCCCCGGGCUCAACCUGGGAACUGCAUCUGAUACUGGCAAGCUUGAGUCUCGUAGAGGGGGGUAGAAUUCCAGGUGUAGCGGUGAAAUGCGUAGAGAUCUGGAGGAAUACCGGUGGCGAAGGCGGCCCCUGGACGAAGA